AGUGAACGCUGGCGGUAGGCCUAACACAUGCAAGUCGAACGGCAGCACAGUAAGAGCUUGCUCUUACGGGUGGCGAGUGGCGGACGGGUGAGGAAUACAUCGGAAUCUACUUUUUCGUGGGGGAUAACGUAGGGAAACUUACGCUAAUACCGCAUACGACCUACGGGUGAAAGCAGGGGAUCUUCGGACCUUGCGCGAUUGAAUGAGCCGAUGUCGGAUUAGCUAGUUGGCGGGGUAAAGGCCCACCAAGGCGACGAUCCGUAGCUGGUCUGAGAGGGUGAUCAGCCACACUGGAACUGAGACACGGUCCAGACUCCUACGGGAGGCAGCAGUGGGGAAUAUUGGACAAUGGGCGCAAGCCUGAUCCAGCAAUACCGCGUGGGUGAAGAAGGCCUUCGGGUUGUAAAGCCCUUUUGUUGGGAAAGAAAAGCAGCAGGUUAAUACCCCGCUGUUCUGACGGUACCCAAAGAAUAAGCACCGGCUAACUUCGUG
rnacentral:rRNA from 1 species